rnacentral:rRNA from 1 species
UGGGGAAUUUUGGACAAUGGGCGAAAGCCUGAUCCAGCAAUGCCGCGUGUGUGAAGAAGGCCUUCGGGUUGUAAAGCACUUUUGUCCGGAAAGAAAUCCUUGGCUCUAAUACAGUUGGGGGAUGACGGUACCGGAAGAAUAAGCACCGGCUAACUACGUGCCAGCAGCCGCGGUAAUACGUAGGGUGCAAGCGUUAAUCGGAAUUACUGGGCGUAAAGCGUGCGCAGGCGGUUUGCUAAGACCGAUGUGAAAUCCCCGGGCUCAACCUGGGAACUGCAUUGGUGACUGGCAGGCUAGAGUAUGGCAGAGGGGGGUAGAAUUCCACGUGUAGCAGUGAAAUGCGUAGAGAUGUGGAGGAAUACCGAUGGCGAAGGCAGCCCCCUGGGCCAAUACUGACGCUCAUGCACGAAAGCGUGGGGAGCAAAACAGGAUUAGAUACCCCUGGUAGUCCACGCCCCUAAAACGAUGUCAACUAGUUGUUGGGGGUUCAUUUCCUUAGUAACGUAGCUAACGCGUGAAGUUGACCGCCUGGGGAGUACGGUCGCAAGAUUAAAACUCAAAUGAAUUGAC